CAGCAGCCGCGGGAAUACGUAGGGUGCAAGCGUUAAUCGGAAUUACUGGGCGUAAAGCGUGCGCAGGCGGUUUUGUAAGACAGAGGUGAAAUCCCCGGGCUCAACCUGGGAACUGCAUUUGUGACUGUAGAGCUGGAGUGCGGCAGAGGGGGAUGGAAUUCCGCGUGUAGCAGUGAAAUGCGUAGAUAUGCGGAGGAACACCGAUGGCGAAGGCAAUCCCCUGGGCCUGCACUGACGCUCAUGCACGAAAGCGUGGGGAGCAAACAGGAUUAGAUACCCCCGUAGUCCCUGUCUCUUAUAC
rnacentral:rRNA from 1 species